rnacentral:rRNA from 1 species
CCUACGGGAGACAGCAGUGAGGAAUAUUGGUCAAUGGACGAGAGUCUGAACCAGCCAAGUAGCGUGAAGGAUGACUGCCCUAUGGGUUGUAAACUUCUUUUAUAUGGGAAUAAAACGUUCCACGUGUGGGAUUUUGUAUGUACCAUAUGAAUAAGGAUCGGCUAACUCCGUGCCAGCAGCCGCGGUAAUACGGAGGAUCCGAGCGUUAUCCGGAUUUAUUGGGUUUAAAGGGAGCGUAGGUGGAUUGUUAAGUCAGUUGUGAAAGUUUGCGGCUCAACCGUAAAAUUGCAGUUGAAACUGGCAGUCUUGAGUACAGUAGAGGUAGGCGGAAUUCGUGGUGUAGCGGUGAAAUGCUUAGAUAUCACGAAGAACUCCGAUUGCGAAGGCAGUUCACUGGACUGCAACUGACACUGAGGCUCGAAAGUGUGGGUAUCAAACAGGAUUAGAUACCCGUGUAGUC